rnacentral:rRNA from 1 species
AGAGUUUGAUCCUGGCUCAGAACGAACGCUGGCGGCAGGCUUAACACAUGCAAGUCGAGCGCCCCGCAAGGGGAGCGGCAGACGGGUGAGUAACGCGUGGGAACAUACCCUCCGGUUCGGAAUAGCUCAGGGAAACUUGGAUUAAUACCGGAUACGGCCUAGCGGCGAAAGAUUCAUCGCCGGAGGAUUGGCCCGCGUCUGAUUAGCUAGUUGGUGGGGUAAUGGCCCACCAAGGCGACGAUCAGUAGCUGGUCUGAGAGGAUGAUCAGCCACAUUGGGACUGAGACACGGCCCAAACUCCUACGGGAGGCAGCAGUGGGGAAUAUUGGACAAUGGGCGCAAGCCUGAUCCAGCCAUGCCGCGUGAGUGAUGACGGCCUUAGGGUUG